rnacentral:rRNA from 1 species
UGAACGCUAGCUACAGGCUUACCACAUGCAAGUCGCGGGGCAGCAUGGGGGUUGCUUGCAAUCCCCGAUGGCGACCGGCGCACGGGUGAGUAACGCGUAUCCAACCUGCCCUUCACCACGGGAUAACCCGGCGAAAGUCGGACUAAUACCGUAUGUUGUCCAUUGACGGCAUCCGAUUUGGACGAAAGGUUUGGCGGUGAAGGAUGGGGAUGCGUCCGAUUAGCUGGACGGCGGGGUGACGGCCCACCGUGGCGACGAUCGGUAGGGGUUCUGAGAGGAAGGUCCCCCACACUGGAACUGAGACACGGUCCAGACUCCUACGGGAGGCAGCAGUGAGGAAGAUUGGUCAAUGGGCGUAAGCCUGAACCAGCCAAGUAGCGUGCAGGAUGACGGCCCUAUGGGUUGUAAACUGCUUUUAUGCGGGGAUAAAGUGGCCCACGUGUGGGUUUUUGCAGGUACCGCAUGAAUAAGGACCGGCUAAUUCCGUG